CAAAUGGAGCGCGAGAGCGUGCGUUAACAUGUGUGAACGAAAUGGAAACAAUUUCGUAGCUCGCGUCCGUCGCAGUCUACUCUUUUUUUCCUCUUUUUUUUUCCAGAGGUGCUCACGGGCUUACGAGUGCGCAUUGUUACGUUGUUAAUAUCAGGCGACCAGCUGGCGGAAAAGCGCAAUUUUUGUUCGGCGGCUAGCCACGUUUAAUGGAAACGCCGCUGAAUUUUUUUUCGUCAAACCUUUAACGACAAACAAUUGCACCGUCACCUGUCAAACACAUGCCAUGUGCGUCGCUGCGAGAGCGUGAACAAUCAAGCCGCUAUUAGGAGAGACCGGGACUACAUGGCUCUAAGGAUACAAUUUUUAUUCAUAAAACGAUUGAAACAGAGCAUAUGGACAGACGAGAUAAAGUUGGCUCACAAUUGAAGGUGGGCAAGAGGACUGUGGAGACCUCUCGCUGAAACUCGAACUACUUAUCAGGAUACAUAUUUUAUACUUAGCCUUCUUUAAUCCUGAAUUUAACUCUUUCAUGGACAGUGGGACAUACAUGUCCCAUUUACGAAAAAAAAUCAUAACUUUAAAACAAAUAGUUCUAUCGAUUUCUACCUUACCUUAUUUGAAUGAAGAAGGUUCAGCCUGCGUGUAAAAAAUUAGUGUACUCUUAAAUUUAAUGCU